rfam:Alligator mississippiensis ScZkoYb_122, whole genome shotgun sequence.
GCCUGUGGUUCAAUGGUGGAAUCUUUGCCUACCACGCAGGAGACCUGGGUUCAAUUCCCAGACAUGUA